CCUACGGGUGGCAGCAGUGGGGAAUAUUGGGCAAUGGGGGGAACCCUGAUCCAGCGACGCCGCGUGAGUGAAGAAGUAUUUCGGUAUGUAAAGCUCUAUCAGCAGGGAAGAAAAUGACUGUACCUAACUAAGAAGCCCCGGCUAACUACGUUCCAGCAGCCGCGGUAAUACGUAGGGGGCACGAGUUCUACGGAUUUACUGGGUGUAAAGGGAGCGUAGACGGUGCAGCAAAUCUGAUGUGAAAGGUCGGGGCCCAACCCUGGGAAUGCAUUGGAAACUGUUGAACUGGAGUACAGGAUAGGUAAGCGGAAUUCCUAGUGGAGCGGUGAAAUGCGUAGAUAUUAGGAGGAACACCAGUGGCGAAGGCGGCUUACUGGACUGUAACUGACGUUGAGGCUCGAAAGCGUGGGGAGCAAACAGGAUUAGAUACCCGAGUAGUC
rnacentral:rRNA from 1 species